rnacentral:rRNA from 1 species
UGGGGGGUAUUGCACAAUGGGCGGAAGCCUGAUGCAGCGACGUCGCGUGAGGGAUGGAGGCCUUCGGGUUGUGAACCUCUUUCGCCGGUGAAGAAGGUCCUGCUCCUUGUGGUGGGGUUGACGGUAGCCGGGUUAUGAAGCGCCGGCUAACUACGUGCCAGCAGCCGCGGUAAUACGUAGGGCGCGAGCGUUGUCCGGAAUUAUUGGGCGUAAAGGGCUUGUAGGCGGCUGGUCGCGUCUGCCGUGAAAUCCUCUGGCUCAGCUGGGGGCGUGCGGUGGGUACGGGCUGGCUUGAGUGCGGUAGGGGAGGCUGGAACUCCUGGUGUAGCGGUGGAAUGCGCAGAUAUCAGGAGGAACACCGGUGGCGAAGGCGGGUCUCUGGGCCGUUACUGACGCUGAGGAGCGAAAGCGUGGGGAGCGAACA